GACAUUUCUUAGCUCUUCAAGAAUAAAGAUGCGACAACCUGCGCAGAGUCUGCAUGGGGAAAUCCCUUCACGGAUUCUUCUCCAUUUUUUGGGUGGAACAAAGUCAUCUUCAUGUUUCUCAUGAUUGCAACAAUUUGAGAUCCCCUCACAUGUCAAAUUAGUGGGUCCAGCUCAGUAUUGUGCUAUUAAAGAUAGUUGCAGUUGUUGUUUGGCUGUCUUCAGUUGCAGCUGGAAAUAAUCUUCUACCAAUGUACUGGUCAUCCUUAAAUAGUCGAAUGUAUGGAGUGGGAAGGAUUGCAUCUCAAAAUUGCAUUCCAAGCUGAUUUACUUCGAUCCCACGUACUUUUAAUGGUGGUGUUUGUAUUUGUUGCCAACAGUCUCCCACCAUACACCUUCUCCUUUUUGUAAGUAGAGACUGAUGCGUUGACAUGCGUGACUUUAGAAAGUCUUGUGAAAUGAUUGUUCCACUGUAUGGUGGUACUUUGUUUGCCACCUCUGUAACCAUUGUUGCUUGUUUUCGUAGACUUGUCAGUGUACUAGUAGUACCUGUCUCCUCUUUAGCUUGCAUACUCCUGGCUUGCAUACUCAGGAGUCAAAACAUUGUCUGGUUUUCUGUUCGUAGCUCGUAGGCUAAUGUGUUUGAUUUGAGCUCUCGUUCGUGGAGCGUAGGCAAACCAUAUGGUACUGGGUGGGAGCGAGAUCGUGAAGAUAUGUCCCAUAUAAUCUAUCCCUAGCUUGUGCAGUAGGAUUCAAGAUAGUAGGAUUCAAGAUGAGUUCGUUCAUGAUGAAGCCAAGUAACGUUGUAAAGCUGUAACACAGUUUUGGGAUUUCGACCUGAAUCAGAGCAGCAAGUUGGUGUUGAAGGUCACAAAGAGUUGUACUGGGUGAGACAAGGCAGUGUGCGAGGGAUAGAAGCUCACGGAUUUCUUCUAUCGUAAGUUGCUGAAUUUGCUGGUCACUCAUUAAACGCAUGUACUUGUUUCCGUAUUUCAAUUAAUGAUAGCUUUCUGUCCACCUCUUCAUUUUUUACGUCUCCGUCAAGUGGAUUUAUGUACAAUAUAUGAGGUGAGCGUGGCUCUCCUAAUGAUAGUUUGCCGCUAGCAAUCAGUUCCCAUUUAUAAUUUCAGGUGUUGGUAAGGAUGGGGUUGAUAUCUCACCCCCUGGAAGUCUCUUUUUUAGUUCUAGGGAGGAAGUGACCUCUUUUGCUCCAUGUCUAGCACAUUAAAACCUUGUUUUAUCGCAUAUUCCUUCAAUACUUGACCUGCAUUUUUUCCAGGAAUUUGUAGCUGUUUUGCUGAUUGUGACCAGUUGAUGGUUUCUCCUGUGGGAUGCGAUUGGAGCAAUGCUCAUGGCUCCAUGUGUGAUUCUCUGAAUUUUCUUGUUAGGGGUUGGAGGUAGUUCGAAAGACAUCGCAAAGCGUUUAUGCUUGUAUGCUGAAUCCCUUCAGCUUCAGCUAGCGUCGUUAAACAAAUGUUUUCACUCAUCUGCUUGCUAACAUGUUGCACGAUUUUUCUUUUUUGGGCUCUGUCACGUUGUUAUUUUUUUACUUUCGAUAUUUUUUGUGUUAAAUUUGCCAUUCUCAUUUGCCAUUCUCGAGAGUACACUGCUGGUAUGAAUGACCAUGUCCUUCUUGCCACUGUUCGUUUAAAUCUCCUAGUACCAUGCAAACUUCAUCCCUUUCAGGUUGGGAUGGUGACACUGGGUUCUACUCUGAAAGACAGGUUGUUCUGGGAACGCCUCUUGAAGACGUAAGUGGUGUCUGCUACAUUCUGUGCACUUUGAAACGGAGUGUUUAUUCUUCUCAGUAACAGAAAGCUUUUUCCAGUUUUCGGAUGAAAAGUGUGCCUCGUAAUCUUCCCUUAGCAUUGGGUUCCAUUUUUUCGAAAAACUGUUUAAGGUCCUUUUUUACAAUAUUUGUCAAAGUGGGUUUCCCCUUUGCUGUCUACCAUAAACAAAUCAUCUGGGAGAGCAAUGUCACUAAAUUGUUUUUCGAAUUCACUCCUUCGUGCUACCACAUUCACACAACGUUCAUGUGUCCCUCUCUUUGUAGCUCCCGCAGUUCUUGCAUACCCACAAUUAAACUUGAGGGCUAUUGUUGGCGUAAACAUGUCGCUCUGUGUGAGAAGGAUUAUAAAUUACGUUAACUUACGAGAGAUUACACCCUGAAGUGUUCACAUUCACAUUCAAUUAAAAUGUCUCGAACUAAGCUGCUCUUAUUGCUACAUUUUUUAGACGUAAAACUUGUAAACCCAUAACAUUUCCUUUCUUUUAUUCUAUGCAUACACCUUACGUACCUGCUUCAAGCUUGUGCAAUGGAUACCAGGAGUAUUGCAGGAGAGUGUGCAGUGCUGGAGAGCAUGCUAGCAAAGAGAUGAAAAAUUGUUCCAUAUAAUUGUUAUCAAUGUUCUGUUUUUGUUAUUAAUAAACUGAAUCUUUAGCUCUGAACAAUAGUAUUUUGCAAUUGCAAGCUGCACAUAAUAAUAAUUGCCGCCUGCGCAAGUGCAGUAAUUUUCGAGGUCAAGUACUCAGAAUCACAUGACAGUUGCCACUCCCCCCACAACUUCUCUGCAGCUGAUACUGUACAAUUAUGAAAGCAGCUUAUGCGGAGGUUUAAAACACCAUUUAGAUAGCUUAUAACUGCUCUAUAUGAAGUCUUCUAUUGAUUUGUCCGUCUACUUUUCGCUUGAAAUCAUAAUCGUCGCACUAAAAGCCUGUUCUUUAACGAGUGAGUCACUUCCAAGUAGCAACCUACACAAAAAAUUUGAUCUCUGCAAAAUGAUGUUUUGAGUCAUACAAAGCAACUAAAAUAAAGCAGGCAGCCAAUUUGAAAUACCUUUUGCACAAUAGCAGCCGUAAACUCUCACCACAACUAUGCGCUUGCAUGCAAUAUUUCCACUCUAAACAAAGCACACUUCAAGUUAAAUUUCAAAACUAUUAUUGAAGCAUAGAUAAAGGAAUUUUGUGCUGCAAUUCUACACUUCAAGGUAAGUAAUUUAGAGCAGAAUUAAACCAAUUGUAUUUAGUUGUCAGAGCCUGGUGUAUUUUUUAUAACUACAAGCAGAAAUUGGAAAUUUUGUUUUGAUGCUGCCAAAAUGGAAAUGUCAGUUCCUCACCAUAUUUUUGUGAAGUAUGAUAAUAAUUAAAAAGAGACAUCCGAUGUAUUUUUAGUUUUUCAGUAUUAACUAGAUUCUACUCCGUAACAAAGUAAUAAACAUUACGAAAUGUCAGUGAUCAUCAUAAUGUAUUGUACACAGGCUGUUGACUGCCCUCCCCUCAAUGAAAAUUUCAGCCACCCAAGUGCGUGGCCUUGUGUGCGUGGCCUUGUUAACAACAACAGGUGAACAAUUUGUCCAAAAACUAAGAACUGCUCGAUUAAAUCAAGUUUCAAGACGCUGAAGAAAACUAUAUACUUGGUCUAUGCAUAUAUUUGGUCUAUGCAUAUAUAGAGAUCUACUCUGUCUAUGGUCUAUGAUAUGCCAACUUUUCAACAAAAACACAUGCACUGCAUUAAUGAUGAGAACAGAAAGUGUGCUAUUUUGACCUAACUAUUGACUUUUUUUACUGGAGACAUAACUUUGAAAAAAAUU